GUAUAAUCCCUCACCUCCAGCUGCACAACCAAGGCUUUGAGAGAAAUAGAAACUCUUCUUUUGUCUCAGAGUGACAAAAAGUGCUAGAGAACUUGGCAGAGUUUUGCAGAGAACUGCUCUCAUUACCCUGCAAUAUUUAGACCUGCAGCAUCAUAAUUUGCCUUAGGAAAUAAUUCUUCCACAGAGUUUUGCUUGGAAUAAAAUCUUCAGAGGACCAUAGUGACAUCUUCAGCUCAUGCACGACAGGCUUCUAAGAAGAAGGGAGAAGGAGCUUGAGCAGUACCAUAUCCUGAAUUCCUACUACAUGCCUCUGUGGGGAGAAGAUGUCUUACAAGACACUUCAGUGGAAUGGGAUUCAGUCACACCAGGGCAUUUUGACCACAGAUUAGGAAACUGUGAGUUUCAAGGAACAGAUUCAAACAGAUGGAAGUGAAAUAUUGCACUGAAGAGGUUGCUGUGACCUUCAGGUCUGAGCGAAGCCUUGUCCAGAAAUUCACUCCUUUUGCCUCUGUUUCUUCACCAUUAUUAAAUGUCACCAUAGCAGAAGUUACUGGAAGUUGCCUUGGAAAACAGUCAUGGAAAGACACAUUGAAGUUUUAGGUAAGGUUUGAUAUCCUUAGGUAUAUGUGGCUGCCAUUAUUACGGUGUAGAAUUGUACAAUCAGAUACUCUCUUCAGUGGUUGCUUGUUUUACUGGUGUCGAAGAGAUAAUAGAGAUCUUCUUGCUCAUCAUUCAUUUUUGGAGGUUUAACCCCAGCUGGAAAUUAAGCACCACGCAGCUUCUUGCUUCCAGUAGGACAGGGGAGAGAACCAAGAGAGUAAAAGUAAGAAAACUCAUGGGUUGAGAUAACAAUGGUUUAGUAGGGUAAGCAAAAUACAUACACAUGCAAAGCAGAGUGAGGAAUUCAACCACCACUUCCCAAGGUCAUUCACCACAUCCCUUGGGUCAUUCAGGGUCAGCUUUCCUGGGCUGUGUCCCCAGACAAGUCUUUGAACUCCUUCCUCCCCCCCACAAUUCUCCUUGCUGGCAAGGCAGUAGGAGAAGCAAAAAAGGCCUUGACACCAUGCAAGUGCUGCUCAGCAAUAAUGAAAAUGUCCCUGAGUCAUCAGGCAGUUGCAACAUACAUUCAAAACAUGUCCCCAUACCUGCUACUAUGAGGAAAAUUAACUCUAUCCCAGCCAAAACCAACACAAUAAUCCAGUGAUUUUCUUCUCUGCAACUUCAAGUGAAUGUUUAAAUGUAAAAGAAAAAAUAACUGAGUACUUAUUUUUUUCUCUUAGUUGUCUCUGAUCCUUUCUGGACAUGUAAUAAAAAAUGAUCCAAGUCUGGCCAAAAAAAUGCUUCUUACAAAGUCAGCAGUGGAAAAAAAAUGUCUAUUCCUGGAGUUGGAACUGCAGUGAGUAAAGAGGUAUCAAGGAUAAAUUUGCUACAAGACUGCCUACACUACUGAAGUUAACACUGAACCCAUGUAACCAAACUCCCCCAAAAGUCUAGUUUCUUCUCUAAACUUAUCAAAGGUGAGAAACUAAGUGGUAUGUUUCAAGCAGCUACAGUAAUUAGCACCUUUCCCAUCCAGUGUUAAUUGCCUCCACAGUAAUAAGAGUCAUAAUUACGCAGCACUCCAGCUUGUCACUUCGUUACACUAAUUGCACUGCCACCAAAUUUUGAAACUUUAAGUAAUGCACUGAUAAACAGAAUCUUCACUAUGUGCCACAAGUGUUUAAUUGGAUCUCAAAGCAGCAAAACCUUAAGCUGUGUAGCUGUGCUGAAGCAGAUCGCUGUAAUGAUUACACAUACUCCAGAAGAGACAGGUCUGCAGAAGCUGUGAAAAAUCACAUUGUGUUACUACUUAGUGAGUGGAGCACAAAUACAUUACAUAGAGGCAGUCACAGGCAAUAGUCUUGCCUUUAGCUUUGUAGCUUAUAGACUUCCAAACUUGUUUAUCUUGCUAUCAUGUUACUCUUUGCUUUGUGGUACACAUUGCUAUUGAAAUAUCCAUGUGCACAAAUAAAUUUAGCAGCUAAUGGAAGUGGCUUUAUAUACUUAUUAAUACUUGCAGGAUUUUAAGAGGGAUCUGAUUUUCAAGGGCUGUCAAACAGGUCAUCUUUAAAAAAUCAAAUCUGUUAAUAUUAGUUUUAGUAAGGUGCCUUAAAACGUAAUUUCUAAAAUCAGUAGCU